ACAACAACCUGGCAGGGGAGAUGCCAUGAUCAAGAAGGUGGUUCACCCAGGGCGAGGCCCAGCCAUUGCACUCCGGUUGUUCUGACCACUGCGAAUUCCCCAAAUGUGGGAAUCUCGACUGCAUUUUUAA